rnacentral:snoRNA from 1 species
UGCCUCCUGGUGUGUGUUCUUACACUGACUGUAUAGGAAGAGGAGGGAAAGUAAACCUACCCCAUAUGCACCUCAGCCUAGGCCCUGCGCCUGGUCUGUAUUGUGAAUGGGAAGAGAUAU